CCAAUCCGGCGUCCUGCACGCACACCAUGUAGGCCACAAGAUCUCAGAUAGCUUAUGUCAUUGGUGGUGGCAUAAGCUACCAGUACCAGCUGCAUGCCUGUGCUCUUCUUCGCUUGGAGUGUGCCCUCGGCCAUGGCCCGUGGGCGCGUACGCAGCAACCCAGGGCAUGGAUCCGGCGUUGGCUAGCUACCUCUGGCCUGCAUCAAGCUGCAGCUGGCUAGGCUGCUUGGUUUCUUGAGGAAGCUCGGGGUGAAACUGCCAUGGCUGGCCGGCAGGGGCGGCCUCGUCCACGGCGGCGGCGGCGACUUCUCACCUCUACUAAGGUAGGGCAACUUCUAUCCUUUGGCAAUUGUGACUUCUCGAUCGGUGGUUGGGCGUGAUGAUCUCUCUCCUCCGAGUAGAGCACCGGUGGAGAUCAUAGCACGGUGCACGUGUGUGCGUAUCCUCUGUAUCGUCGUGUAACUACUAGCUAGCUAUACCAAGUUGAUAUGAAGCUAGUGUGGUUGUAUGUGUGAUCCUGCUUGAGUCUUUUGGUUCUGUGAUCUGUGGGCAGUAUAUGUGUUGAGUUUUGUACGUAUCUGGUAAGACUAGUGCCAUCAGUCGAUAAAUAUAAAUUUGACGUUUGCACACAGUAAAAAAAAAAAAAAAAAAAAAAAAAAAAAAA
rnacentral:miRNA from 1 species